UGGGGGGACCAUCCUCCAAGGCUAAAUACUCCUGACUGACCGAUAGUGAACCAGUACCGUGAGGGAAAGGCGAAAAGAACCCCGGCGAGGGGAGUGAAAAAGAACCUGAAACCGUGUACGUACAAGCCACCUUUUGCAUUAUGAUUCAGCGAGUUAUGAUAUGUUGCGAGGUUAAGCCGUUGCAGGUGUAGCCGUAGGGAAACCGAGUCUGAAUAGGGCGAUUAGUAGCAUGUCAUAGACCCGAAACGGGAUGAGCUAGCCAUGAACAGGUUGAAGCGGGGGUAAUACCUCGUGGAGGACCGAACUCGUGACGGUUGAAAACGUCUGGGAUGAUUUGUGGUUAGGGGUGAAAGGCCAAUCAAAUUCCGUGAUAGCUGGUUCUCUCCGAAAUGCAUUUAGGUGCAGCGUCUAGCGGACACUAACGGGGGUAUAGCACUGACUUGGCUAGGGGGCUUACCAGCUUACCAAACCAUAUCAAACUCUCAAUACCGUUAAGUGAUACUAGGCAGUGACACGGCGGAUGCUAAGGUCCGUCGUGAAAAGGGAAAGAGCCCAGACCAUCAGCUAAGGUCCCAAAAUCGUCGCUAAGUGGAGAAGGUUGUGGAACUACUGUGACAUCCAGGAGGUUGGCUUAGAAGCAGCCACCCUUUAAAGAAAGCGUAAUAGCUCACUGGACUAGUGGUUCUGCGCCGAAAAUGUAACGGGGCUAAAGUGACGUACCGAAGCUAUGGACUUUCGAGUGGUAGGAGAGCAUUGAGUUUGCCGAUGAAUGCGUACCGUAAGGAGCGCUGGAGGUCCCUCAAGAGCUGAUGCUGAAAUGAGUAGCGAUAAGAAAUGUGAGAAUCAUUUCCGCCGUAAAUCUAAGGGUUCCUGGGCCAGGUGACUCCGCCCAGGGUUAGUCGGAUACUAAGAUGAGGCCGAAAGGCGUAGUCGAUGUCCAACAGGUUAAUAUUCCUGUACUUAGUAAAAAUCGUUUGACUUAAUGGAGUGACGGAGAAGGGUAGUGAAUCCACCUAUUGGAUGGUGGUCUAAGUGUGUAGAGGGUCAGAUAGGCAAAUCCGUCUGGCGUAACUUCGAGGCACGAAUGCGAGCGCAAGCGAAGUUCAUAAUCCCAAGCUUCCCAGAAAAGCUUCGUAAGGAGAUUUUUAUUAAUCCGUACCCUAAACCGACACAGGUAGAUGAGGAGAGAAUCCUCAGGCGCUUGGAAGAACUCUUGUUAAGGAACUCUGCAAAAUGGUGCCGUAACUUCGGGAUAAGGCACGCCUUUGGUGGUGAGAUCACUUGCUGGUCAAGCUAUUGGAGGUCGCAGUGAAAAGGGGGUAGCGACUGUUUAUCAAAAACACAGGUCUAUGCAAACACGUAAGUGGAAGUAUAUGGGCUGACGCCUGCCCGGUGCUGGAAGGUUAAAAGGUGAGGUUAGGAGCAAUCCGAAGCUUUAAAUUGAAGCCCCAGUAAACGGCGGCCGUAACUAUAACGGUCCUAAGGUAGCGAAAUUCCUAGUCGGGUAAGUUCCGACCUGCACGAAUGGCGUAACGACUUCCCCACUGUCUCAACU
rnacentral:rRNA from 1 species